rnacentral:rRNA from 1 species
GGCGCACGGGUGAGUAACACGUGAAUUWCAUGCCCUGCAGAGGGGGAUAGCCCAGGGAAACUUGGAUUAAUACCCCGUGGUCUCGCAAGAGUAAAGGGUGGCCGCAAGGCUGCCGCUGCAGGAUUGGUUCGCGCCCUAUCAGCUAGUUGGGGGGGUAUCGGCCCACCAAGGCUACGACGGGUACCUGGUCUGAGAGGACGAUCAKGCACACUGGAACUGAGACACGGUCCAGACACCUACGGGUGGCAGCAGUCGAGAAUAAUUCACAAUGGGGGCAACCCUGAUGGUGCAACGCCGCGUGGAGGAUGACGGUCUUCGGAUUGUAAACUCCUGUCAUCCGGGAGUAAGACCUGGCGAUGAAUAGUCGACAGGGUUGAUAGUACCGGAAGAGGAAGGGACGGCUAACUCUGUG